rnacentral:rRNA from 1 species
GAUGAACGCUGACCGAAUGCUUAACACAUGCAAGUCUUUGGUGAAGCUGUGCUUGCACAGCCUAGCCAAGGCGGACGGGUGAGUAACGCGUAAGGAACUUGCCCUGCAGUCAGGGAUAACAGACGGAAACGACUGAUAAGACCUGGUAAAGUCAGGCGGACUCAUGUCCAGCCUGAUGAAAAGAGAUGCUGCAGGAGAGCCUUGCGUCCUAUUAGCUUGUUGGUGGGGUAACGGCCCACCAAGGCAAUGAUAGGUAGCCGGCCUGAGAGGGUGGACGGCCACAAGGGGACUGAGAUACGGCCCUUACUCCUACGGGAGGCAGCAGUGGGGAAUAUUGGACAAUGGGGGCAACCCUGAUCCAGCAAUUCUGUGUGCACGAUGAAGGUUUUCGGAUUGUAAAGUGCUUUCAGCAGGGAAGAAAAAAAUGACGGUACCUGCAGAAGAAGCGACGGCUAAAUACGUG